CUAAAUCGAAACUAACUUUAUUUCUUCAAAACUAAUUCCAUAUUUUCAUUCAAUUUCCACUUUAGACUAAAUUCAACUCUCUAAUUUCACUCAAAUCCUUAAAUUUCAAAUUUAGUCCCUAAUACUCAAAACUUAUAAUUUAUUUUACAAUUCAAUCCCUUUUUCAUUCCUAACUUAAAAUUCUAUCAAUUUAAUCUCAAAUACUUAAAUUAUUCAACAUGAACAACAUCUAAGAAUUCAAUAUUUUCUAAAAUUUUAAUAUAGGUUAAGUAGUAUUUAAUACUAGAAUUCUAAAAACAUAAAAAUUAUAAGAAAAUGGACUAAAUUGAC
rnacentral:lncRNA from 1 species